UCACCGCUUACGCGGGCAGUUCCACUAGAGUCCCCGGCAUUAUCCGCUGGCAACUAAUGGUAGGGGUUGCGCUCGUUGCGGGACUUAACCCAACACCUCACGGCACGAGCUGACGACGGCCAUGCAGCACCUCGCAAAUUGUCCGAAGAAGGACCGGUUUCCCGAUCUGUCAAAAUGCGUUCAAGUCCAGGUAAGGUUCCGCGCGUAUCAUCGAAUUAAACCACAUGCUCCUCCGCUUGUGCGGGCCCCCGUCAAUUCCUUUGAGUUUCAACCUUGCGAUCGUACUCCCCAGGUGGAUAACUUAACGCUUUCGCUUGGCCGCUGACCGUAUAUCGCCAACAGCGAGUUAUCAUCGUUUACGGCGUGGACUAC
rnacentral:misc_RNA from 1 species